CGCUGUUGUAGCUCAGUGGUAGAGCACUUCCUUGGUAAGGAAGAGGUCGUGAGUUCAAUCCUCAUCAACACUC
rnacentral:tRNA from 1 species